CUUUCAUCCGAGGGCAGACAGCAGGGACUCUGAGUGCCGCAGGACACCCAGUGCUAGGUGACUCUCUGAGGAAGGCUGCCUCCCUCGAGGGACCCACUGUGCCCUUCUGAAGGCUCUCGGCCGAUGAUAACAUGGACGGCUGAGCUCUCAAGGUUGCAUCCGUAAAGGCAAAAUGCAACAUUUAACAGAGGCAGCAUUGUUCACACCAGACAGAGCAAUGAUUCCGCCGUACUUAAGGAGGGCAAGCACAGUCUACACAAUAGCAUAAUUUGUCCAUCCCAAAGCGAGUGCACAUAACCCAUGGGAACCCCAAAAUGGAGUUCGUCCUGGACGAUAUCUCGCUGCUGAGGGUGACCUGGGAAGCAAGGGAGGGUCUU